UACGUAGGGUGCAAGCGUUGUCCGGAAUUAUUGGGCGAAAAGAGCUCGUAGGCGGUUUGUCGCGUCUGCUGUGAAAACUCGGGGCUUAACUCCGGGCCUGCAGUGGGUACGGGCAGACUAGAGUGCGGUAGGGGAGACUGGAAUUCCUGGUGUAGCGGUGAAAUGCGCAGAUAUCAGGAGGAACACCAAUGGCGAAGGCAGCUCGCUGGGACGUGACUGACGCUGAGACGCGAAAGCGUGGGGAGCAAACAGG
rnacentral:rRNA from 1 species